GACGAACGCUGGCGGCGUGCUUAACACAUGCAAGUCGAACGAGAAGAGAUGAGAAGCUUGCUUCUUAUCAAUUCGAGUGGCAAACGGGUGAGUAACGCGUAAGCAACCUGCCCUUCAGAUGGGGACAACAGCUGGAAACGGCUGCUAAUACCGAAUACGUUCUUUUGUCGCAUGGCAGAGGGAAGAAAGGGAGGCUCUUCGGAGCUUUCGCUGAAGGAGGGGCUUGCGUCUGAUUAGCUAGUUGGAGGGGCAAACGGCCCACCAAGGCAACGAUCAGUAGGGGUUCUGAGAGGAAGGUCCCCCACAUUGGUACUGAGACACGGACCAGACUCCUACGGGAGCAGCAGUGGGGAAUCUUCCGGCAAAUGGGCGCAAGCCUGACGGAGCAACG
rnacentral:rRNA from 1 species